rnacentral:lncRNA from 10 species
GGAGCUGAGCUACCAAGAUCCUGUUCUUUCCAAAUUCACCAUUCACUCUAUCUCUUCAGGGGAUUGGGGAAAAAGACCACAAGUGUGAAGAGAAGAAGAAGGAAAACAACAACAACAACAACAAAACACUGUUGAAAAACAGGAGAAGAAAGGGUCUUGCUCUUUCACCCGGGCUGGAGUGCAGUGGUGCAAUCACAACUCACUGAAGCCUUGACCUCCCAGGAUCAAGUGAUCGUCCCACCUCAGCCGCCUGAGUAGUAGCUGGGACUGCAGGUGAGUACCACCAUGACUGGCUAAUUUUUUCUGUACAGAUAGAGUCUCACUAUGUUGCCGAGGCUGGUCUCCAACUCUAAAUCCUGGACUCAAGCAAUCCUCCCACUUCAGCCUCCCAAAGUACUGGGAUUACAGGCAUAAGCCACAAUGCCAGCCUUCAUUCAGCAACUUAUUUUAAGAUUUAUCCAUGUUGUGGUAAACAGUGAACAUCAAUACUCUGUUCCUUUUUAUUGUUGAGUAGUAUUUAACUACAUGGUUGUACCACAAUAUAUCUAUUCAUAUAUUGAUGGACAUUUGGAUUGUUUUUGACUAUUGCUAAAAAGCCUGCAAUGAAUAUUUGCAAUCUUUAUACAAGCAUAUGUUUUCAUUUCUUUUGGAUAAAUACCUAGAAGAGGAAUGACACAUAAUAGAUGUAUAUUGAACUUUUAAAGAAACUACCAACAACUUUCCACAGUCACUGCACCAUUUUGCAUUCCCACCAACAGUGUCUAAGUGUUCUAGUUGCCCCAUAUCCUCAUCUUCAUGUG